UACGAAGGGGGCUAGCGUUGCUCGGAAUUACUGGGCGUAAAGGGCGCGUAGGCGGGUCGUUAAGUAGGGGGUGAAAGCCCAGGGCUCAACCCUGGAAUUGCCUUCUAAACUGGCGGCCUUGAGUAUGGCAGAGGUGUGUGGAACUCCGAGUGUAGAGGUGAAAUUCGUAGAUAUUCGGAAGAACACCAGUGGCGAAGGCGGCUCACUGGCCCCGAUACUGACGCUGAGGUGCG
rnacentral:rRNA from 1 species